CUAAUGAAUCAGAAUAUCUGGGCAGUGCUGGAGUUGAAGAGUUUGCUUUUUAAGAAGCUGUCCAGGUGCAGUUGAAACCAGCUACUGAUGCUAUCCAUGAUCCAUUCACUCCUCUCCUUACAUGAGAGACUGUACUUGCAAUUAAGCACGGCCAUGUGACUAGUUCUGAGCAAUGGAAUAUAGUACAGAGUAAUAAAGUAUGAAGCCUUUAUGUACUUUCUUCUCUUGAAAGAAGACCACAUAUCUCAGGGAGUACAAGCCUGGUUGGUGGAGCCACCAUAACCCUAGGAUCCUGAGUGUCCAAAUGAACCAGCCUAAAGCUGACAAAAAAUGAACACAUUUCACUGGAGAAGAAAAAAUAAGCUUCAGUUGUGUUAAGCCUUCAAGAAUUCAGAGUGAUUUUUAA
rnacentral:lncRNA from 1 species